rnacentral:rRNA from 1 species
UACGAAGGGGGCUAGCGUUGCUCGGAAUCACUGGGCGUAAAGGGUGCGUAGGCGGGUUCUUAAGUCAGAGGUGAAAUCCUGGAGCUCAACUCCAGAACUGCCUUUGAUACUGAGAGUCUUGAGUUCGGGAGAGGUGAGUGGAACUGCGAGUGUAGAGGUGAAAUUCGUAGAUAUCGGGAGGAACACCAGUGGCGAAGGCGGCUAUCUGGACGAAUACUGACGCUGAAGUUCGAAAGCGUGGGGAGCAAACAGG